rnacentral:rRNA from 1 species
UACAGAGGGGGCAAGCGUUGUUCGGAAUUACUGGGCGUAAAGCGCGUGUAGGCAGCUCGGAAAGUCGGGUGUGAAAGCCCUGGGCUCAACCUAGGAAGUGCACUCGAAACUUCCGAGCUGGAGUGCUGGAGAGGAAGGCGGAAUUCUCGGUGUAGAGGUGAAAUUCGUAGAUAUCGAGAGGAACACCGGUGGCGAAGGCGGCCUUCUGGACAGUAACUGACGCUGAGACGCGAAAGCGUGGGGAGCAAACAGG